rnacentral:lncRNA from 1 species
UGUUGUCAUCCAAUAAAAUGCCACCAAUAUUUAAUUCAGAGGUGGGUUAUCUUUUGUGAUCAUGAAAACCUCGAGAUUGGUGAUCACUUUGCUUUCUAUCCCGAUCUAACUGAUCCGUUCCACAUCAUUGCUGUUUGGCACAAGCUUUUGCACGUGUAGGUAUGAUGAUGGAUGGUUGUGAUCUAAUUUUCUUUUUUUUUUUGGGGGGGG